rnacentral:rRNA from 1 species
AAUCAUGCCAAUGGCGGAUGCCUUGGCAGUUUGAGCCGAAGAAGGACGCGUGUAUGAGCGCGAUACCAACGGUGAGCCCUCCAACAGGCGCUACCAACCGUUGAUUUCCGAAUGGAGUAAUCCCUCUGGUAGCAAUAUCAGAGAUCCUUUGAUUUAUCAAAGGAGGGGAACCCGGGGAACUGAAACAUCUAAGUACCCGGAGGAAAAGAAAUCAUAUAGAGAUUCCGUAAGUAGCGGCGAGCGAAAGCGGAUCAGCCUAAACCCCCGACGCAAGUCGGGGGUGUUGCGGGACUGCAAUAUCCGAUUAAAUAUUUGUAAAAGAAUGAACUGGAAAGUUCAGCCAAAGAAGGUGAAAGCCCUGUAUUUGACACGAAUGUUUACGGUAGCAGUAUCCCAAGUACCACGGGACACGGAAAACCUUGUGGGAAUCUG